UAAGUUGUUCACUGGUCUCGUGGGCCACAUAGGCUAAUGUACCCUCGAUGUUUGUUUAUGUUCCCUGACCCCGAAGGUAGUAGUAGCGAUAAUAGUAGCAUAGUAGCUUUAACUGCAGUAGAGGUAGCAGUAGCAGUAGCUUUAACUGCAGUAGAGGUAGCAGUAGCAGUAGCUCUAACUGCAGUAGAGGUAUCAGUAGCUUUAACUGCAGUAGAGGUAGUAGUAGUAGUAGCU